rnacentral:rRNA from 1 species
AUGGUGAAGUUACUAUAUAAGUAUAGGGUCAAGCACUGCCCCGACAUAUAUCCUAUUUUGAGUUUUUCCUCAAAGUCCCAUGGCCAUGUUGCUGGUAGAGUUGGAAGCACCGCCCUUGAUUUUGAAAUUGGAGAAGGAAGAUGGGUAACAGAGUUUAGUACAGUAAGGAUGCUCUAUAAUAUAGGAAUCCAGGUGAAUAUUCUUGCUUCUAAGGUCUCCUGUGUUGGAUGUGUUCUCAGUUUGCCUCUUUAUUUCUCCUUUUGCCUCUGCACUACUGCCAAAACUUUAUUUAUUUAUCUCCUUGAGUGA